rnacentral:rRNA from 1 species
CGGUAAAGAGCGGCGGACGGGUGAGUAACGCGUGGGUAACCUACCCUGUACACACGGAUAACAUACCGAAAGGUAUGCUAAUACGGGAUAAUAUACUUGAGAGGCAUCUCUUGAAUAUCAAAGGUGAGCCAGUACAGGAUGGACCCGCGUCUGAUUAGCUAGUUGGUAAGGUAACGGCUUACCAAGGCGACGAUCAGUAGCCGACCUGAGAGGGUGAUCGGCCACAUUGGAACUGAGACACGGUCCAAACUCCUACGGGAGGCAGCAGUGGGGAAUAUUGCACAAUGGGCGAAAGCCUGAUGCAGCAACGCCGCGUGAGUGAUGAAGGCCUUCGGGUCGUAAAACUCUGUCCUCAAGGAAGAUAAUGACGGUACUUGAGGAGGAAGCCCCGGCUAACUACGUGCCAGCAGCCGCGGUAAUACGUAGGGGGCUAGCGUUAUCCGGAUUUACUGGGCGUAAAGGGUGCGUAGGCGGUCUUUCAAGUCAGGAGUGAAAGGCUACGGCUCAACCGUAGUAAGCUCUUGAAACUGGGAGACUUGAGUGCAGGAGAGGAGAGUGGAAUUCCUAGUGUAGCGGUGAAAUGCGUAG